rnacentral:lncRNA from 10 species
GCACACCCGGCCACGCUCGCACUCGCGCGGCCGCGGGGCCGGCUGCUUACCUCCGGGGCCUCAUGGUCGCGUCGCUAGCCUGGAUGCCCUGGACAUCAUUCCGAACAGCACAAUUCAAGGCUCUUGGGUAACCCCCUCCCACACCAACUCUGAGUUUGUUUAUGGCUUGUUUUGGACAAUAAGACAUUAGCAAAUGAGAUAUAAGUACAGGCUUGAGAAGUACAUGGGCACUGGGGCUUGCUUGCUGGCUGCUCUGUGGAACCUGAGACUACCACGUGAAGAAGAAGUUCGAAGUGCUAGAGGUUGAGAGAACAUGUGCAGCAAAGAUGAAGCAUCCCAGCUGAGAUUCCCCUAGAUCAAUCAGCUUGCCAACUGCCGCAAAAGCGAAUAAAGCCUUCCAAGAGCAUCCAGCUAUAAGCAUUUCUGUAGCCACCUGCGGCAGGAGAAUGGCGUGAACCCGGGAGGUGGAGCUUCCAGUGAGCCGAGAUCGCUCCACUGCACUCCAGCCUGGGCGACAAAGCGAGACUCCGUCUCAAAAAAAAAAAAAA